rnacentral:rRNA from 1 species
GAUGAACGCUGGCGGCGUGCCUAAUACAUGCCAGUCGAGCGAACAGACGAGGAGCUUGCUCCUCUGACGUUAGCGGCGGACGGGUGAGUAACACGUGGAUAACCUACCUAUAAGACUGGGAUAACUUCGGGAAACCGGAGCUAAUACCGGAUAAUAUAUUGAACCGCAUGGUUCAAUAGUGAAAGACGGUUUUGCUGUCACUUAUAGAUGGAUCCGCGCCGCAUUAGCUAGUUGGUAAGGUAACGGCUUACCAAGGCAACGAUGCGUAGCCGACCUGAGAGGGUGAUCGGCCACACUGGAACUGAGACACGGUCCAGACUCCUACGGGAGGCAGCAGUAGGGAAUCUUCCGCAAUGGGCGAAAGCCUGACGGAGCAACGCCGCGUGAGUGAUGAAGGUAUUCGGAUCGUAAAACUCUGUUAUUAGGGAAGAACAAAUGUGUAAGUAACUAUGCACGUCUUGACGGUACCUAAUCAGAAAGCCACGGCUAACUACGUG